AAUUUUAAAGAAAAAUUAUCAUGUACAAUCACUUAAAUAUGGUUGUUAUAUUAGCAAAUUAAAGAAAGAGACUAAGCGUCAAUAGUUUUAAAUAUAGAGGACUAAAAUUGUGGGGGGAAUAGGGGGACAAAAUUAUGAAUUUAAUAAAAUAAGCGGACCAAACUACAUUUUAGUCUACCUUUUUAAUUGUGGAAACCCAAAAAAUUAGUUCGUUUGGAAUAGAGUUUGGCUUGAGCGGGAGAUGGGAGCUGGGUGUGCGAAUUAUGUGACUCUAAUUAUGCAUUAUUAGAAAAAUAGUAUCGGAGGCUUAAGUCUAAUUGAGGGGGUUAUGGUAUAAGGUGUUGGCUCAUAAAUAUGGGUGGGGGUCGGUGAGGGAGGAGAUUGGGUUAGGAAUAAAUCGAUUCUAGGCUUUGUGUAAUAUGGGAAGGGGGACCAAGGUAGUUUGGUUUCUUAAUAAUUUGGAGAGAAAUGUCAUGGAUGGGAGAACCGAUCUGAG
rnacentral:lncRNA from 1 species